rnacentral:rRNA from 1 species
CGUCUAUAUACGUAUAGCAUAUCAAUAAGCGGAGGAAAAGAAAUCUAACAAGGAUUCCCUUAGUAACGGCGAGUGAAGCGGGAAGAGCUCAAAUUUGAAAUCUUCAAGGUUCUACCUUGACGAAUUGUAGUUUAUAGAAGUGUUUUCUGUUAGAUGAGUAGCAAAAGUUCCUUGGAAUAGGACAUCAUAGAGGGUGAGAAUCCCGUAUUUGAUCAUUCUUCCUAGCUUUGUGAUACACUUUCAACGAGUCGGAUUGUUUGGGAAUGCAGUCCAAAAUGGGUGGUAAAUUUCAUCUAAAGCUAAAUAUUGGCGAGAGACCGAUAGCGAACAAGUACCGUGAGGGAAAGAUGAAAAGAACUUUGAAAAGAGAGUUAAACAGUACGUGAAAUUGUCAAAAGGGAAGCGUUUGACACCAGUGUUGUUUUUCCGAAAAUCAAUUACGAAUGUUUUGUUUUUGAGGAGUUAUGGACUUCAUCGGCUUGCUUCUUUCUUUACGAAACUUUCUUAAUGCACUUUUCGGUUAACAAGUCAACAUCAAUUUCUUUUGUUGUAGAAGGGUAUGAGGAAGGUGGCUUUCUUUUCGGAGAAAGUGUUUAUAGCCUUGUGCCUCUGCAAUCGGAGAGAUUGAGGUCUGCAGCGUAGAUCCUUCGGGGUUAGAUACGUUUGUGCUAAGUUAUAGCUUUUCAUAGACAACUUGUUGACUAUGUUUAGUCUUGUAGCUUACUCGCUGACGCUAUUUUACCUACGCUUAGGAUGUUGACUGAUAUGUAGUCGU